CCUACGGGUGGCUGCAGUGAGGAAUAUUGGUCAAUGGGCUUACGCCUGAACCAGCCAAGUCGCGUGAGGGAAGAAUGCCCUAUGGGUUGUAAACCUCUUUUGUCAGGGAGCAAAUGUCGCUACGUGUAUCGUUAUCGAGAGUACCUAAAGAAAAAGCAUCGGCUAACUCCGUGCCAGCAGCCGCGGUAAUACGGAGGUUCGGAGCGUUAUCCGGAUUUAUUGGGUUUAAGGGGAGCGUAGGCGGGUUGUUAAGUCAGUGGUGAAAGUCUGCGGCUCAACCGUACAAUUGCAGUUGAUACUGGCAUCCUCGAGUACGGUAGAGGUAGGCGGAAUUCGUGGUGUAGCGGUGAAAUGCUUAGAUAUCACGAAGAACUCCGAUUGCGAAGGCAGCCUGCUGGACUGUAACUGACGCUGAUGCUCGAAAGUGUGGGUAUCAAACAGGAUUAGAUACCCGUGUAGUC
rnacentral:rRNA from 1 species